rnacentral:rRNA from 1 species
GACGUAGGGGGCGAGCGUUGUCCGGAGUUAUUGGGCGUAAAGAGCUCGUAGGCGGCUCGUUGCGUCGGCUGUGAAAACCCGCAGCUCAACUGUGGGCUUGCAGCCGAUACGGGCGGGCUGGAGUUCGGUAGGGGAGACUGGAAUUCCUGGUGUAGCGGUGAAAUGCGCAGAUAUCAGGAGGAACACCGGUGGCGAAGGCGGGUCUCUGGGCCGAUACUGACGCUGAGGAGCGAAAGCGUGGGGAGCGAACAGG